GGACGAACGUUGGCGGCGUGCUUAAUACAUGCAAGUCAACUGAAGCAGUGGUAGCAAUAUCGCUGUGGAGGUGGCGCACGGGUGAGUAACACGUAGGUAAUCUGCCUUCAGGUCUGGCAUAACUCCGGGAAACCGGGGCUAAUAGCAGAUGAUGCAGCGGCUCGACAUCGAGACAGUUGUUAAAGCUAUGGCGCCUGAAGAUGAGCCUGCGUCUGAUUAGCUAGUUGGCGGGGUAACGGCCCACCAAGGCAACGAUCAGUAGCUGGUCUGAGAGGAUGAUCAGCCACACUGGAACUGAGACACGGUCCAGACUCCUACGGGAGGCAGCAGUAAGGAAUAUUGCUCAAUGGGAGAAAUCCUGAAGCAGCAACGCCGCGUGAGGGACGAAGGGCUUUUGCUUGUAAACCUCUGUAGUGAGAGAAAAAAAUCCCAAUCUUUGGGACAUGAUGGUAUCUCAAAAGUAAGCCCCGGCUAACUACGUG
rnacentral:rRNA from 1 species